UGGGGGAUAUUGCACAAUGGGGGGAACCCUGAUGCAGCGACGCCGCGUGGGCGAGGGAGCGCCUCGGCGCGUAAAGCCCUUUCGGCGGGGAGAACGAUGACGGUACCCGACGAAGAAGCACCGGCUAAAUACGUGCC
rnacentral:rRNA from 1 species